GUCAAUCAUCGAAUCUUUGAACGCAAAUUGCACUCUCCGGUUUUCCGGGAGAGUAUGCCUGUUUGAGGGUCGUUAGAAUAAGAAAUAGAGGCGUCGCCCUUUUUUUGAGGGUGAUCGCGUCGGAAUUGAGCCGUCUUUCAAAUGUUAAUUCAUGUCAAAGUGGCUUAAAAUUCAUCCAUGCGGUACGAUUAAAGCGUAGUUAAGAGCAAUUUUGAUUAAGAACGCGCGAUGACGUACCAUCUCAUGUAGUACGUUUGACCUGGGUCGUCAGGUUCAUUCUUAUACGAUACUCGAA
rnacentral:misc_RNA from 1 species